ACCUGGGACCUUGUAUCUACUGCUG
rnacentral:piRNA from 1 species